rnacentral:rRNA from 1 species
AUGAACGCUAGCGGCAGGCUUAACACAUGCAAGUCAGGGGCAGCAUAGUAUGUAGCAAUACAUAUUGAUGGCGACCGGCGGAUGGGUGCGUAACGCGUAUGCAACCUACCUUUACAGGAGGAUAACCUUUCGAAAGGGAGACUAAUACUCCAUAGUAUUAUUUAGAGGCAUCUUUAGAUAAUUAAAUAUUUAUAGGUAAAAGCUGGGCAUGCGUAUGAUUAGUUAGUUGGUAAGGUAACGGCUUACCAAGGCGAUGAUCAUUAGGGGUUCUGAGAGGAAGGUCCCCCACACUGGUACUGAGACACGGACCAGACUCCUACGGGAGGCAGCAGUGAGGAAUAUUGGUCAAUGGGCGGAAGCCUGAACCAGCCAUGCCGCGUGCAGGAAGACGGCCUUUAAUGGGUUGUAAACUGCUUUUUAUGUGAGGAUAAUAUUCAUCUUGCGAGGUGGAAUGAAGGUAUCACAUGAAUAAGGAUCGGCUAACUCCGUGCCAGCAGCAGC